rnacentral:rRNA from 1 species
GACGAACGCUGGCGGCGUGCUUAACACAUGCAAGUCGAACGGAAAGGCCCUGCUUUUGUGGGGUGCUCGAGUGGCGAACGGGUGAGUAACACGUGAGUAACCUGCCCUUGACUUUGGGAUAACUUCAGGAAACUGGGGCUAAUACCGGAUAGGAGCUCCUGCUGCAUGGUGGGGGUUGGAAAGUUUCGGCGGUUGGGGAUGGACUCGCGGCUUAUCAGCUUGUUGGUGGGGUAGUGGCUUACCAAGGCUUUGACGGGUAGCCGGCCUGAGAGGGUGACCGGCCACAUUUGGACUGAGAUACGGCCCAGACUCCUACGGGAGGCAGCAGUGGGAAAUAUUGCACAAUGGGCGGAAGCCUGAUGCAGCAACGCCGCGUGCGGGAUGACGGCCUUCGGGUUGUAAACCGCUUUCGCCUGUGACGAAGCGUGAGUAAGGGUAAUGGGUAAAGGAGCACCGGCUAACUACGUG